AGCGAACGCUGGCGGCAGGCCUAACACAUGCAAGUCGAACGAACCUUUCGGGGUUAGUGGCGGACGGGUGAGUAACACGUGGGAACGUGCCUUUAGGUUCGGAAUAACUCAGGGAAACUUGUGCUAAUACCGAAUGUGCCCUUCGGGGGAAAGAUUAAUCGCCUUUAGAGCGGCCCGCGUCUGAUUAGCUAGUUGGUUGAGGUAAUGGCUCACCAAGGCGACGAUCAGUAGCUGGUCUGAGAGGAUGAUCAGCCACAUUGGGACUGAGACACGGCCCAAACUCCUACGGGAGGAAGCAGUGGGGAAUCUUGCGCAAUGGGCGAAAGCCUGACGCAGCCAUGCCGCGUGAAUGAUGAAGGUCUUAGGAUUGUAAAAUUCUUUCACCGGGGACGAUAAUGACGGUACCCGGAGAAGAAGCCCCGGCUAACUUCGUG
rnacentral:rRNA from 1 species